rnacentral:rRNA from 1 species
AACGUAGGUACCGAGCGUUAUCCGGAUUUACUGGGCGUAAAGCGCGUUCAGGCGGUUUGGCAAGUCGGGCAUGAAAUCUCUCGGCUCAACCGGGAGAGGUUGUCCGAUACCUCCAGACUUGAGGGCAGUAGAGGGUGGUGGAAUUCCGGGUGUAGUGGUGAAAUGCGUAGAUAUCCGGAGGAACACCAGUGGCGAAAGCGGCCACCUGGACUGCACCUGACGCUGACACGCGAAAGCUAGGGGAGCGAACGGG